rnacentral:rRNA from 1 species
GAACCAAAUGCUUGCAUUUGGUGGAUGAGUGGCGAACGGGUGAGUAACACGUGGGUGAUCUGCCCUACACUUUGGGAUAAGCCUGGGAAACUGGGUCUAAUACCGAAUAUUCACAUCAUCGUAGGGGUGGUGUGGAAAGCUUUAUGCGGUGUGGGAUGAGCCUGCGGCCUAUCAGCUUGUUGGUGGGGUAAUGGCCUACCAAGGCGUCGACGGGUAGCCGGCCUGAGAGGGUGUACGGCCACAUUGGGACUGAGACACGGCCCAGACUCCUACGGGAGGCAGCAGUGGGGAAUAUUGCACAAUGGGCGCAAGCCUGAUGCAGCGACGCCGCGUGGGGGAUGACGGCCUUCGGGUUGUAAACUCCUUUCGCUAGGGACGAAGCCUUUUAGGUGACGGUACCUGGAGAAGAAGCACCGGCUAACUACGUGCCAGCAGCCGCGGUAAUACGUAGGGUGCGAGCGUUGUCCGGAAUUACUGGGCGUAAAGAGCUCGUAGGUGGUUUGUCGCGUCCUCUGUGAAAUCCCGGGGCUUAACUUCGGGCGUGCAGGCGAUACGGGCAUAACUUGAGUGCUGUAGGGGAGACUGGAAUUCCUGGUGUAGCGGUGAAAUGCGCAGAUAUCAGGAGGAACACCAAUGGCGAAGGCAGGUCUCUGGGCAGUAACUGACGCUGAGGAGCGAAAGCAUGUGUAGCGAACAAGAUUAUAUACCCUGGUAGUCCAUGCCGUAAACGGUGGGCGCUAGGUGUAGGGGUCUUCCACGACUUCUGUGCCGCAGCUAACGCA